GUUGUCGACCAUAUCACGUCGAGAACACUGGUUCUCAUCUGAUGAGCAAUGUCAAGCAACACCGUAUCCAGUUUGUACGCAAACGGGUGAGCGCUUAGGAACCCUAGGUGCUGUAAUCA
rnacentral:rRNA from 1 species